rnacentral:rRNA from 1 species
UACGGAGGGUGCGAGCGUUGUCCGGAAUUAUUGGGCGUAAAGGGCUCGUAGGCGGUCUGUCACGUCGGGAGUGAAAACACGGGGCUUAACCUCGAGCCUGCUUCCGAUACGGGCAGACUAGAGGUAGCAGGGGAGAGGCGAAUUCCUGGUGUAGCGGUGGAAAUGCGCGAUAUCAGGAGGAACACCGGUGGCGAAGGCGGAUCUCUGGGCCAUUACUGACGCUGAGGAGC